GUUAUAUGGUCAAGUGAAGAAGCGCAUACGGUGGAUGCCUUGGCAGUCAGAGGCGAUGAAAGACGUGGUAGCCUGCGAAAAGCUUCGGGGAGUCGGCAAACAGACUUUGAUCCGGAGAUCUCUGAAUGGGGAACCCACCUAGGAUAACCUAGGUAUCUUGUACUGAAUCCAUAGGUGCAAGAGGCGAACCAGGGGAACUGAAACAUCUAAGUACCCUGAGGAAAAGAAAUCAACCGAGAUUCCCUUAGUAGUGGCGAGCGAACGGGGAUUAGCCCUUAAGCUUCAUUGAUUUUAGCGGAACGCUCUGGAAAGUGCGGCCAUAGUGGGUGAUAGCCCCGUACGCGAAAGGAUCUUUGAAGUGAAAUCGAGUAGGACGGAGCACGAGAAACUUUGUCUGAACAUGGGGGGACCAUCCUCCAAGGCUAAAUACUACUGACUGACCGAUAGUGAACCAGUACCGUGAGGGAAAGGCGAAAAGAACCCCGGAGAGGGGAGUGAAAUAGAACCUGAAACCGUAUGCGUACAAGCAGUGGGAGCCUACUUGUUAGGUGACUGCGUACCUUUGUAUAAUGGGUCAGCGACUUAUAUUCAGUGGCAAGCUUAACCGUAUAGGGUAGGCGUAGCGAAAGCGAGUCUUAAUAGGGCGUUUAGUCGCUGGGUAUAGACCCGAAACCGGGCGAUCUAUCCAUGAGCAGGUUGAAGGUUAGGUAACACUGACUGGAGGACCGAACCCACUCCCGUUGAAAAGGUAGGGGAUGACUUGUGGAUCGGAGUGAAAGGCUAAUCAAGCUCGGAGAUAGCUGGUUCUCCUCGAAAGCUAUUUAGGUAGCGCCUCAUGUAUCACUCUGGGGGGUAGAGCACUGUUUCGGCUAGGGGGUCAUCCCGACUUACCAAACCGAUGCAAACUCCGAAUACCCAGAAGUGCCGAGCAUGGGAGACACACGGCGGGUGCUAACGUCCGUCGUGAAAAGGGAAACAACCCAGACCGCCAGCUAAGGUCCCAAAGUUGUGGUUAAGUGGUAAACGAUGUGGGAAGGCUUAGACAGCUAGGAGGUUGGCUUAGAAGCAGCCACCCUUUAAAGAAAGCGUAAUAGCUCACUAGUCGAGUCGGCCUGCGCGGAAGAUGUAACGGGGCUCAAACCACACACCGAAGCUGCGGGUGUCACGUAAGUGACGCGGUAGAGGAGCGUUCUGUAAGCCUGUGAAGGUGAGUUGAGAAGCUUGCUGGAGGUAUCAGAAGUGCGAAUGCUGACAUGAGUAACGACAAUGGGUGUGAAAAACACCCACGCCGAAAGACCAAGGGUUCCUGCGCAACGUUAAUCGACGCAGGGUUAGUCGGUUCCUAAGGCGAGGCUGAAAAGCGUAGUCGAUGGGAAACAGGUUAAUAUUCCUGUACUUCUGGUUACUGCGAUGGAGGGACGGAGAAGGCUAGGCCAGCUUGGCGUUGGUUGUCCAAGUUUAAGGUGGUAGGCUGAAAUCUUAGGUAAAUCCGGGGUUUCAAGGCCGAGAGCUGAUGACGAGUCGUCUUUUAGAUGACGAAGUGGUUGAUGCCAUGCUUCCAAGAAAAGCUUCUAAGCUUCAGGUAACCAGGAACCGUACCCCAAACCGACACAGGUGGUCGGGUAGAGAAUACCAAGGCGCUUGAGAGAACUCGGGUGAAGGAACUAGGCAAAAUGGCACCGUAACUUCGGGAGAAGGUGCGCCGGCUAGGGUGAAGGAUUUACUCCGUAAGCUCUGGCUGGUCGAAGAUACCAGGCCGCUGCGACUGUUUAUUAAAAACACAGCACUCUGCAAACACGAAAGUGGACGUAUAGGGUGUGACGCCUGCCCGGUGCCGGAAGGUUAAUUGAUGGGGUUAGCGCAAGCGAAGCUCUUGAUCGAAGCCCCGGUAAACGGCGGCCGUAACUAUAACGGUCCUAAGGUAGCGAAAUUCCUUGUCGGGUAAGUUCCGACCUGCACGAAUGGCGUAACGAUGGCGGCGCUGUCUCCACCCGAGACUCAGUGAAAUUGAAAUCGCUGUGAAGAUGCAGUGUAUCCGCGGCUAGACGGAAAGACCCCGUGAACCUUUACUGUAGCUUUGCACUGGACUUUGAGCCUGCUUGUGUAGGAUAGGUGGGAGGCUUUGAAGCGUGGACGCCAGUUCGCGUGGAGCCAUCCUUGAAAUACCACCCUGGCAUGCUUGAGGUUCUAACUCUGGUCCGUGAUCCGGAUCGAGGACAGUGUAUGGUGGGCAGUUUGACUGGGGCGGUCUCCUCCUAAAGAGUAACGGAGGAGUACGAAGGUGCGCUCAGACCGGUCGGAAAUCGGUCGCAGAGUAUAAAGGCAAAAGCGCGCUUGACUGCGAGACAGACACGUCGAGCAGGUACGAAAGUAGGUCUUAGUGAUCCGGUGGUUCUGUAUGGAAGGGCCAUCGCUCAACGGAUAAAAGGUACUCCGGGGAUAACAGGCUGAUACCGCCCAAGAGUUCAUAUCGACGGCGGUGUUUGGCACCUCGAUGUCGGCUCAUCACAUCCUGGGGCUGAAGCCGGUCCCAAGGGUAUGGCUGUUCGCCAUUUAAAGUGGUACGCGAGCUGGGUUUAGAACGUCGUGAGACAGUUCGGUCCCUAUCUGCCGUGGACGUUUGAGAUUUGAGAGGGGCUGCUCCUAGUACGAGAGGACCGGAGUGGACGAACCUCUGGUGUUCCGGUUGUCACGCCAGUGGCAUUGCCGGGUAGCUAUGUUCGGAAAAGAUAACCGCUGAAAGCAUCUAAGCGGGAAACUUGCCUCAAGAUGAGAUCUCACUGGGAACUUGAUUCCCCUGAAGGGCCGUCGAAGACUACGACGUUGAUAGGCUGGGUGUGUAAGCGUUGUGAGGCGUUGAGCUAACCAGUACUAAUUGCCCGUGAGGCUUGACCAUAUAACACCCAAACA
rnacentral:rRNA from 1 species